rnacentral:rRNA from 1 species
AUUGAACGCUGGCGGCAGGCCUAACACAUGCAAGUCGAACGAGUGGCGGACGGGUGGGUAAUGUCUGGGAAACUGCCCGAUGGAGGGGGAUAACUACUGGAAACGGUAGCGAAUACCGCAUACCCUCGGAUGUGCCCAGAUGGGAUUGGCUAGUAGGUGGGGUAACGGCUCACCUAGGCGACGAUCCCUAGCUGGUCUGAGAGGAUGACCAGCCACACUGGAACGUAGACACGGUCCAGACUCCUACGGGAGGCAGCAGUGGGUAAUAUUGCAAAAUGGGCGCAAUCCUGAUGCAGCCAUGCCGCGUGUAUGAAGAAGGCCUUCGGGUUGUAAAGUACUUUCAGCGAGGAGGCGUUACUCGCAGAAGAAGCACCGGCUAACUCCGUGCCAGCAGCCGCGGUAAUUC